UGACUGCUCCCUCCGUCCAGAAUUACUUGUCGCAUAUAUGAAUAAAAAUGAAUGUACCUAGAACUAAAAUACAUCUAGGUACAUCUAUUUCUCUGAUAAGUAUUUCUGGGUGGAGGGAAUAUUAA
rfam:Triticum aestivum genome assembly, contig: Triticum_aestivum_CS42_TGACv1_scaffold_569231_7AS